CCUACUGGAGGCAGCAGUGGGGCAUAUUGGGCAAUGGGCGAAAGCCUGACCCAGCAAUGCCGCGUGAACGAAGAAGGUCUUAGGAUUGUAAAAUUCUGUCCUAUGGGAAGAAAAAAAUGACGGUACCAUAGGAGGAAGCCCCGGCGAACUACGUGCCAGCAGCCGCGGUAAUACGUAGGGGGCGAGCGUUGUCCGGAAUUACUGGGCGGAAAGAGAGCGUAGGCGGCACUACAAUUCUCAUGUGAAAUACCCGGGCUUAACUUGGGGGUUGCAUGGGACACUGUAGAGCUUGAGUACAGGAUAGGCCAGCGGAAUGCCUAUUGUAGCGGUGAAAUGCAUAGAUAGUAGGAGGAACACCAGUGGCGAAGGCGGCUUGCUGGACUGAAACUGACGCUGAGGCUCGAAAGCGUGGGGAGCAAACAGGAUUAGAUACCCUGGUAGUC
rnacentral:rRNA from 1 species